UAAGGAAUAUUGCGCAAUGGACGAAAGUCUGACGCAGCGACGCCGCGUGGGGGAUGAAGGUCUUCGGAUUGUAAACCCCUUUCGGGAGGGAAGAUGGAGUGGGUAACCACUUGGACGGUACCUCCAGAAGCAGCCACGGCUAACUUCGUGCCAGCAGCCGCGGUAAUACGAAGGUGGCAAGCGUUGUUCGGAUUCACUGGGCGUACAGGGAGCGUAGGCGGUUGGGUAAGCCCUCCGUGAAAUCUCCGGGCCUAACCCGGAAAGUGCAGAGGGGACUGCUCAGCUAGAGGAUGGGAGAGGAGCGCGGAAUUCCCGGUGUAGCGGUGAAAUGCGUAGAGAUCGGGAGGAAGGCCGGUGGCGAAGGCGGCGCUCUGGAACAUUUCUGACGCUGAGGCUCGAAAGCGUGGGGAGCAAACAGGAUUAGAUACCCUCGUAGUCCCUGAGCGGGCUGGCAAGGCGCAU
rnacentral:rRNA from 1 species